CUAACCCUUUGUAUUUGGAAAACAGAGCCGUAUACUAUGGUAUAAAAAAGGGCAAAAAACUACAAUGGGUAAGGCCUGAAGCUCAAGAAGAGUGUGAUGUGUCAGAUUGGUUCAACAUUAUGGUACUCCAUCAAAACAGGAUCAAGACAAAUCCCAAAAACGCGAUAAAUGUUCAUUUCCUACCACGAUUCUUGGACUUCAUAGUGUGGGGGCAUGAACAUGAAUGCCUCGUUGAUCCAUAGAUGCCAAAGUGCUUCAUUGUUGUAUAAAUCAUCAAGUAUCCAGUGCUAGGUGCUAAUAUCUCAGUUAUCUCAGAUUUUGGUACCAAUUGCCAAUGGCUCAGUGAAGAUGGAAGUUGUUAUGAUAAUUGAUAUUCUACAGAGAGCAAAGGAAAAUGUGGUGGUAACAUCUAUCGAAGAUAAAUUAGAAAUAGUGGCAGCUAGAAAAGUGAAACUAGUGGCUGAUAUGCUCCUCAAGGAGGCUGACAAGCUGCAAUAUGACCUUAUUGUUUUGUCAAACAACCAUAUGAUCUUGAUCAAAGGUUGUUCCACUAGCGAUGGAAAUUGCAUUUGCUUCAGGAACUUGCCGGGAUCAUCAAGCUUUCAGCACUAUCCAGUUUUAGUCUAUUUGAAAGCUGAAAAUUCAUAUGGAUUUCAAUGAAUUUCACUUGAUGAAACUGAGAUCACUCCCUACAGCCAUGUGCAGUCAGCUUUCGGAUCAAAGCGAAGCCGAGAAUAGGGUGUUAAUUGAUGGCGAAUUGAUAACCAGUAGAGGCACAUCCAUGGAGUUCUCGUUUGCGAUUGUUGAGAAGUUAUUUAGCUGCGAGAAGGC